UGCACUGUUGUAGCAGGAGAAACAACAAGUUCUGGCCAAGCGCUCACCAUUCUGCAGAAUAAGGAUCAGAACUUUACAGAGGUAAACUGUGUCUGUUCUUUUUACUAUUACAGCAGUUCAUCGUGGCCCUGUCAUUCGCCUCCUUCACCAAAGCUCUGUCAGGGACCUACAUGAAGAGUGCCAUCACUCAGAGAGACACUUUGACCUGUCCAGCUCUCUCAUUGGACUCAUAGACGGCAGCUUUGAGAUGGGUAACCUGCUGUUCCUGGCUGUGGUCAGCCAUUUUGGGGCGAAGCUGCACCGGCCCAGGCUCAUUGCUAUGGGCUGUUUCCUCAUGGCUGUAGGAUCCUUCCUCACAGGCCUGCCACACUUCUUCAUGGGACGGUUGGACCCAGGUGCAGAGAAGAGACCAGAAGAUGAAGCAGUGGUUCCAACCAGUGUCUGCACCCCUCAAGGGCCCAUUUAACUGCCAAGAGCUCCCGGUUGCCUACAUCGUAGUUGCCUUCCGCUGGUCGAGAACCGCUUGGAGAGAAAGGCGCAUGGGUGCAGUUUCUUGUCCUCCUCGUUCGCUGUGAAAGGACCGCCCCAGCUCCGGUGUCCGAGGCGUCCACCUCUACCACAAAGGGACGAGUAGGAUCAGGAUGAACGAGGAUGGGUCCGGAGGUGAAACGUCCCUUGAGCUCUAUGAAUGCCCUGUCAGCCUCGGGAUUCCAGCAAAAACCUGAUUGAGUGAGGUGGGACAGGGCUGUAUGUGUUCCGGAAGGCUUUUUGGGGAAGAUCAGGAUGUCGUCGAGGUAAACAAAGACGAACCGAUUCAACAUUUCCCUAAGAGUGUCAUUGAUCAAUGCCUGAAAGACUGCUGGUGAGUUAGAUAUUCCGAAGGUCAUGACUAGAUACUCAGUGACCACUAGGGGUGUUAAAGGCAGUUUUCCACUCAUCUCCCUGAUUCUCACCAGAUUUUAAGCGUUGAGGAGGUCCAGUUUGGUGAAGAAUUGGGCUCCUAGGGCCAACUCCAAGUUUGGGUCAGAGACAGAGAGACAAGGGAUGCGUUUAGACAUGUCAUGGAAAGAGCAGGUGUUCUUAAUAUUUUAUACACUCAGUGUAACUCAUUGACACGGAAAUAAGUUAUUUUCAACCAUUAACUGGGGCCUUGUUGAGGCCUUAUCUAAGUAAGAAGUUGCUGAUUGACA